rnacentral:lncRNA from 1 species
CCGUGUGUCUCAAGAUUGUGGCUAAGAGCCAUAGCCCUGGAGGAUGUACAGAAGCAUUGCUGUGGCUUAUGACCCAUGGCCACUGUUGGGUCAGGAAGGACAUUGCUUUAAAGGUCUCCUUGAUCUAGGAACACAGCCAAGGCCAAGAGGCCUGAGGUUCUCAGCAAAAGGGGGAGCCCAUCACCUAUGGAGCUAGGCAGCUGAGUUCAGGAGGAGAAGGAAGGAGGAGGGUAAGAGUGAGGGAAGACAUCAACUCAGGGCGGGUCCUUGGCUGUGGUUCUUUGGUUCCUCAAAGGUCACAGGUCAGCUGCAGUCUCCAGAGCUAUAGCAAGUGGAACAUCUAGAAGACUCGUGCUCACAGCAGUCAGAAUGCUGGGGCUGACGCAGGUAGAAUCGUGGAAACCGGAGUGAAACUAGAGAGCAGUGGCCUCCAAAGCCAGAAAUACAGCAACUGGAAACACGAGCCCGAAAUUCUACAGUUGAAUAUGUGGCUCCAGAAGCCACAUCAUAAUAGCAGAGCAGCCCUGCUUUCCUGACAUAGGAGAGAUUCAGCAGUGAGUA